UACGGGGGGGGCAAGCGUUGUUCGGAAUCACUGGGCGUAAAGGGCGUGUAGGCGGUCAAGUAAGUGGAAUGUGAAAUGCCCCGGCUCACCCGGGGACCUGCAUCCCAAACUGCUUGGCUUGAGUAUGGGAGAGGAUGAGGGAAUUCCUGGUGUAGCGGUGAAAUGCGUAGAUAUCUGGAGGAACACCGGUGGCGAAGGCGGCAUCCUGGACCAACACUGACGCUGAGUGAGCGAAAGCCAGGGGAGCAAACGGG
rnacentral:rRNA from 1 species